GAUGAACGCUAGCGGCAGGCUUAAUACAUGCAAGUCGUGGGGCAGCAGGUUUGUAGCAAUACAGAUGCUGGCGACCGGCAAACGGGCGCGGAACACGUACAGAACCUUCCUUUGAGCGGGGAAUAGCCCAGAGAAAUUUGGAUUAAUACCCCAUAGUAUAAUGAAGUGGCAUCACUUUAUUAUUAAAGAUUUAUCACUCGAAGAUGGCUGUGCGGCUGAUUAGGUAGUUGGCGGGGUAAAGGCCCACCAAGCCUGCGAUCAGUAACUGGUGUGAGAGCACGACCAGUCACACGGGCACUGAGACACGGGCCCGACUCCUACGGGAGGCAGCAGUAAGGAAUAUUGGUCAAUGGAGGCAACUCUGAACCAGCCAUGCCGCGUGGAGGAUGAAGGUCCUCUGGAUUGUAAACUUCUUUAUAUGGGACGAAAAAGGCUUUUCUAAGUCGUCUGACGGUACCAUAUGAAUAAGCACCGGCUAACUCCGUGCCAGCAGCC
rnacentral:rRNA from 1 species